rnacentral:rRNA from 1 species
UACGGAGGGAGCAAGCGUUGUUCGGAUUUAUUGGGCGUAAAGAGCGUGUAGGCGGCCAGAUAGGUCUGUUGUGAAAACUCGAGGCUCAACCUCGAGACGCCGAUGGAAACCAUUUGGCUAGAGUCCGGAAGAGGAGAGUGGAAUUCCUGGUGUAGCGGUGAAAUGCGCAGAUAUCAGGAAGAACACCCGUGGCUAAGGCGGCUCUCUAGUACGGUACUGACGCUGAGACGCGAAAGCGUGGGGAGCGAACAGG